UACGUAGGGCGCAAGCGUUAUCCGGAAUUAUUGGGCGUAAAGAGCUCGUAGGCGGUUUGUCGCGUCUGCCGUGAAAGUCCGGGGCUCAACUCCGGAUCUGCGGUGGGUACGGGCAGACUAGAGUGAUGUAGGGGAGACUGGAAUUCCUGGUGUAGCGGUGAAAUGCGCAGAUAUCGGGAGGAACACCGGUGGCGAAGGCGGAUCUCUGGGCCUUACCGUGGACGCUCAGGUGCGAAAGCGUGGGGAGCAAACA
rnacentral:rRNA from 1 species